AUUUUAUUUUUUUUUAUUUUUUUUUUAUUUAUUUUUUAUUUGGCUAUAGUUGUACAUAUGCAUUUUAUAAGUUAUGAUUAUAUACAUGUAAAAGUAACUUACCGGCCAAUGUCGCUAAUUCACUUUCAGUAAUCUGUGGUGGGGGGACUUCGAUGGCAUCCAAUAAUGGGGCUGGGGGUUCAGCACCUGGCAGUGGUGUACCUAGAAUCGAAAAAGUAAAGUAUUACGUACGUCAACGGAUUUGCAAAUUUUGGAAACUCUCGGGUCAGGUUUAGGCGAAAGGUAAACUUCGUGCAGAGCAGUUCGAGUUCCAACAAUUUUGACUUAUCACAUCCUCAACACGACAUUAUCAAUAUAGAGUGAUAUCCCUCUGUGAACAUAAUUUUAAAUGGACAAAUAGGUUGUGUAUUUUUGGAAAUAAAAAAUAUAUUUAAAUGCAAUAUAUGCGCGUCAUAUACGUUUAUCGUGACAGUAAGUUAUUAAACUCCCAAAAUAUUUAAAAUCCUGCAUAUUUUUGCUUAGUGACGUAUUUAGAUUUAUACCUUCGAUAUUCAAGGAAAACUUAGUUACAGUUGUUAAAUAAUAAAAAGCAAACUGCAAUUCGUUAAAGACGUACACACCGAAGAAUUUUAUCUGUAUUUUGUGAUGGACUUUUGUUAGUGUUAUAUGUAUAUGCGACUCUAAAUCACAACACCAGACCAAGUAUACGUUACAAUACAGCAUCGUUCCAGUUAUGUACUAUUGUUAUAUUACAUCAUAUAAGCCUUAUAACCGGGUCAAACAGUGCAAUGGUCAUCCAGCGUUAAAGAAACCGCGUUAACUCAGAGCGGAAAUUAUCUACAGCUCAUUGUUGUUGGGAUUAUAUACGUCAUAAUAUUCGCUACUUUAUUACAAUUAAUCGUGUGUCAUCGCGUUAGUUGGUGAUUUUGUCUAUAGUUAAGUUUGUGUGCAAAAUAAAGGAAAUAUUAUUGUG